UCCUCAGACUUUAGAGAGCUAAGAAUCAUUUAGGGAUAAUGGUUAGAUUCAUGGGCACCCUUCCAACCUGGGAUUCAGAUUCUCUUAAAGUGGGGUUCAGGAAUCUGCAUUUUUAAAAGCACCCAAGCAAUUCUGAUGUUGG
rnacentral:miRNA from 1 species